UAAUACGGAGGGUGCAAGCGUUACCCGGAAUCACUGGGCGUAAAGGGCGCGUAGGCGGUUAUAUAAGUCUGGCUUUAAAGACCGAAGCUCAACUUCGGAUCUGGGUUGGAUACUGUAUGGCUAGACGGCUGGAGGGGAGAGUGGAAUUCUCGGUGUAGCGGUGAAAUGCGGAGAUACCGAGAGGAACACCAGUAGCGAAGGCGGCUCUCUGGACAGUACGUGACGCUGAGGCGCGAAAGUGUGGGGAGCAAACCGG
rnacentral:rRNA from 1 species